rnacentral:rRNA from 1 species
GAUGAACGCUAGCGGCAGGCCUAAUAUAUGCAAGUCGAACGGAUAUAUGUUUUUCGGAAUAUAUAUUAGUGGCGCACGGGUGAGUAACACGUACAUAACUUGCCCUCAAGCGGGGGAUAGCCUUGGGAAACUGAGAGUAAUACCCCAUAGAAUUAUUGGACGGCAUCGUUUGAUAAUUAAAACUACGGUGCUUGGGGAUAGAUGUGCGUCUGAUUAGCUAGUUGGUGAGGUAACUGCUCACCAAGGCGACGAUCAGUAGGGGGCGUGAGAGCGUGGCCCCCCACACGGGUACUGAGACACGGACCCGACUCCUACGGGAGGCAGCAGUAAGGAAUAUUGGUCAAUGGAGGGAACUCUGAACCAGCCAUGCCGCGUGAAGGAUGACGGCCCUCUGGGUUGUAAACUUCUUUUGGAUGGGGCGAAAAAACGGGAUUUAUCCUGGACUGACGGUACCAUCAGAAUAAGCACCGGCUAACUCCGUG